rnacentral:misc_RNA from 1 species
UUAAGUUCAGCGGGUAUCCCUACCUGAUCCGAGGUCAACCUGUAAAAAUUGGGGGUUGCUGGCAAGUAGACCUACCGGACUCAAUCGCGAGGAGUAUUACUACGCGUAGAGCCGACAGGCACCGCCACUGAUUUUAGGGGCCGCGGAACCGCGAGCCCCAAUACCAAGCAAGAGCUUGAGUGGUUAUAAUGACGCUCGAA